ensembl:snoRNA
UAGAUGUGCUCAGAGGAAGAGGCCUGAAGAAGUGGUUCCUCUGUUUAUCACACGUCCAACAGGAAUCUGGGUUCAUUGUCAUAAGAGGCACAAAAUUGUGUCCUUCCUAUGAACAAAUAACCUAAAUGU